CUCCAUUGGUCUUGGUUGUCCAAUUUUGCAUCCCGCAUGGGGAGAUUUUUUUGUACAUGGCGAUUGAUCCCUCUACAUUCCCCAUGACGUUUGGCAACAUGAGAUGUUGACACCAGCAACACACAACAUACAACAGCAAGUUAAAGACAAGAGGCACCACAGAAAGACAAUGCAUUUCAACAUUUUGAGCUGAUAAAACCUUGGAUGACUACAAUGAGUUGGAGACAGACAGUGAGCUGCUCACAACACAAACACAGGAGAUUUCAAAUGAGGGUCGACAUUCUGCACAACAUUGGCUGCACAACAUCUGCACAACCCUCUCAUAAAGGCUCACUGUCCUGCGAAGAUGCAGUAACUUUCAGCACAAGAAUGGUACUUAUAAUCAAGUAUUCAAAUGGAGAGAAAUAUUAACUUCAUGGAAUACUAAGCAGGAGGCUACUCUCUUCAAAAGACCUUGUGAAUGUAAGAAACAUCUAUCAA